AUUGAACGCUGCCGGCAGGCCUAACACAUGCACGUCGAACGAUUGGCGGACGGGUGCGUAAUGUCUGGGAAACUGCCUGAUGGAGGGGGCUAACUACUGGAAACGGUAGCUAAUACCGCAUACCAUCAGAUGUGCCCAGAUGGGAUUAGCUGGUCGGUGGGGUAACGGCGCACCAAGGCGACGAUCCCUAGCUGGUCUGAGAGGAGAGCCAGCCACGCUGGAACUGAGCUCCGGUCCAGACUCCUACGUGAGUAAGCAGUUGGGAAUAUUGCACAUUGGGUGCAAGUCAGAUGCAGCCUUGCCGCGUGUAUGAAGAUGGCCUGCGGGUUGUAAAGUACUUUCAGCCUGGAGGCGUUGCCCGCAGAAGGAGCACCGGCUAACUCCGUGCCAGCAGCCGCGGUAAUUC
rnacentral:rRNA from 1 species